rnacentral:snRNA from 2 species
GUGCUCGCUUCAGCGGCACAUAUACUAAAAUUGGAACAAUACAGAGAAGAUUAGCAUAGCCCCUGUGCAAGGAUGACACCCAAAUUCAUGAAGCGUUCCAUAUUUUU